GGUUUCUCUGUAGCCCUGGCUAUUCCUGGAACUCACUCUGUAGACCAGGCUGGCCUCGAACUCAGAAAUCUGCCUCUGCCUCCCAAGUGCUGGGACUAAAGGCACGUGCCAUCACUGCCUG
rnacentral:miRNA from 1 species